rnacentral:rRNA from 1 species
AUUGAACGCUGGCGGUAUGCCUUACACAUGCAAGUCGAACGGUGGAGGAGCAAUCCUUGAGAGUGGCGAACGGGUGAGUAAUACAUCGGAACGUGCCCAGUCGUGGGGGAUAACGUAGCGAAAGCUACGCUAAUACCGCAUACGACCUGAGGGUGAAAGCGGGGGACCUGAGAGGGCCUCGCGCGAUUGGAGCGGCCGAGGGCAGAUUAGGUAGUUGGUGGGGUAAAGGCCUACCAAGCCUGCGAUCUGUAGCUGGUCUGAGAGGACGACCAGCCACACUGGGACUGAGACACGGCCCAGACUCCUACGGGAGGCAGCAGUGGGGAAUUUUGGACAAUGGGCGAAAGCCUGAUCCAGCCAUACCGCGUGUGGGAAGAAGGCCUUCGGGUUGUAAACCACUUUUGUCAGGGAAGAAAUGCUCUGGGCUAAUACCCUGGGGAGAUGACGGUACCUGAAGAAUAAGCACCGGCUAACUACGUGCCAGCAGCCGCCGUAA